rnacentral:rRNA from 1 species
GGACUACCGGGGUAUCUAAUCCUGUUUGCUCCCCACGCUUUCGCGCCUGAGCGUCAGCAGUCGGCCAGGGCACUGCCUUCGCCAUUGGUGUUCUUCCGGAUCUCUACGCAUUUCACCGCUCCACCCGGAGUUCCAUGCCCCUCUCCGACGCUCAAGCUCACCCGUUUUCCAGAACCUCUCCCGGUUAAGCCGAGAGCUUUCACCUGGAACGCGGCAAGCCGCCUGCGCGCCCUUUACGCCCAGUAACUCCGGACAACGCUUGCCUCCUACGUAUUACCGCGGCUGCUGGCAC